UUAAGUUAGAAAGGGCGCACGGUGGAUGCCUUGGCACUAGGAGCCGAAGAAGGACGGGACUAACACCGAUAUGCUUUGGGGAGCUGUACGUAAGCGUUGAUCCAGAGAUUUCCGAAUGGGGGAACCCACUAUCUUUAGUCGGAUAGUAUCCUUACGUGAAUACAUAGCGUGAGGAAGGCAGACCCAGGGAACUGAAACAUCUAAGUACCUGGAGGAAGAGAAAGAAAAAUCGAUUUCCUGAGUAGCGGCGAGCGAAACGGAAAGAGCCCAAACCAAGAAGCUUGCUUCUUGGGGUUGUAGGACACUCUAUACGGAGUUACAAAAGAAAGUUAUAAAUGAAGCGGUCUGGAAAGGCCCGCCAAAGACGGUAACAGCCCGGUAGUUGAAAUGGCUUUCCCUCCAGAGUGGAUCCUGAGUACGGCGGAACACGUGAAAUUCCGUCGGAAUCCGGGAGGACCAUCUCCCAAGGCUAAAUACUCCCUAGUGACCGAUAGUGAACCAGUACCGUGAGGGAAAGGUGAAAAGCACCCCGGAAGGGGAGUGAAACAGUUCCUGAAACCGUGUGCCUACAAGUAGUUAGAGCCCGUUAAUGGGUGAUAGCGUGCCUUUUGUAGAAUGAACCGGCGAGUUACGAUUUGUUGCAAGGUUAAGCGGAAAAAGCGGAGCCGUAGCGAAAGCGAGUCUGAAUAGGGCGCAUAAGUAACAGGUCGUAGACCCGAAACCAGGUGAUCUACCCAUGUCCAGGAUGAAGGUAAGGUAAUACUUACUGGAGGUCCGAACCCACGCACGUUGAAAAGUGCGGGGAUGAGGUGUGGGUAGCGGAGAAAUUCCAAUCGAACUUGGAGAUAGCUGGUUCUCUCCGAAAUAGCUUUAGGGCUAGCCUCGAGGUAAAGAGUCAUGGAGGUAGAGCACUGUUUGGACUAGGGGCCCUUCUCGGGUUACCGAAUUCAGAUAAACUCCGAAUGCCAUGUACUUAUACUCGGGAGUCAGACUGCGAGUGAUAAGAUCCGUAGUCGAAAGGGAAACAGCCCAGACCACCAGUUAAGGUCCCCAAAUAUAUGUUAAGUGGAAAAGGAUGUGGGGUUGCUUAGACAACCAGGAUGUUGGCUUAGAAGCAGCCACCAUUGAAAGAGUGCGUAAUAGCUCACUGGUCGAGUGACCCCGCGCCGAAAAUGUACCGGGGCUAAACAUAUUACCGAAACUGUGGAUGAACCUCUUUAGAGGUUCGUGGUAGGAGAGCGUUCUAAGGGCGGUGAAGUCAGACCGGAAGGACUGGUGGAGCGCUUAGAAGUGAGAAUGCCGGUAUGAGUAGCGAAAGAAGGGUGAGAAUCCCUUCCACCGAAUAUCUAAGGUUUCCUGAGGAAGGCUCGUCCGCUCAGGGUUAGUCGGGACCUAAGCCGAGGCCGAUAGGCGUAGGCGAUGGACAACAGGUAGAGAUUCCUGUACCAGUGCUAAUUGUUUAACCGAUGGGGUGACACAGAAGGAUAGGGAAUCGCACGAAUGGAAAUGUGCGUCCAAGCAGUGAGUGUGAGAAGUAGGCAAAUCCGCUUCUCGCGAAGCAUGAGCUGUGAUGGGGAAGGAAAUUAAGUACGGAAGUUCCUGAUUUCACGCUGUCAAGAAAAGCCUCUAGGAAGAGUAGUACUGCCCGUACCGCAAACCGACACAGGUAGAUGAGGAGAGAAUCCUAAGGUGAGCGAGAGAACUCUCGUUAAGGAACUCGGCAAAAUGACCCCGUAACUUCGGGAGAAGGGGUGCUCUAUUAGGGUGCAAGCCCGAGAGAGCCGCAGUGAAUAGGCCCAGGCGACUGUUUAGCAAAAACACAGGUCUCUGCAAAACCGUAAGGUGACGUAUAGGGGCUGACGCCUGCCCGGUGCUGGAAGGUUAAGAGGAGUGCUUAGCUUCGGCGAAGGUACGAAUUGAAGCCCCAGUAAACGGCGGCCGUAACUAUAACGGUCCUAAGGUAGCGAAAUUCCUUGUCGGGUAAGUUCCGACCCGCACGAAAGGCGCAACGAUCUGGGCACUGUCUCAACGAGAGACUCGGUGAAAUUAUAGUACCUGUGAAGAUGCAGGUUACCCGCGACAGGACGGAAAGACCCCGUGGAGCUUUACUGCAACCUGAUAUGGAAUGUUUGUACCGCUUGUACAGGAUAGGUAGGAGCCGAAGAGACGUGUGCGCUAGCAUACGAGGAGGCAAUGGUGGGAUACU
rnacentral:rRNA from 1 species